UGCGUAGGUGGUUGUUUAAGUCUGUCGUGAAAGCCCUGGGCUCAACCUGGGAACUGCGAUGGAAACUGGGCGACUAGAGUGUGGUAGAGGGUAGCGGAAUUCCUGGUGUAGCAGUGAAAUGCGUAGAUAUCAGGAGGAACAUCCAUGGCGAAGGCAGCUACCUGGGCCAACACUGACACUGAGGCACGAAAGCGUGGGGAGCAAACAG
rnacentral:rRNA from 1 species